rnacentral:rRNA from 1 species
UACGGGGGGAGCAAGCGUUGUUCGGAUUUACUGGGCGUAAAGGGCUCGUAGGCGGCCAACUAAGUCGGACGUGAAAUCCCUCAGCUUAACUGGGGAACUGCGUCCGAUACUGGAUGGCUUGGAUUUGGGAGAGGGAUGCGGAAUUCCAGGUGUAGCGGUGAAAUGCGUAGAUAUCUGGAGGAACACCGGUGGCGAAGGCGGCAUCCUGGACCAACACUGACGCUGAGGAGCGAAAGCCAGGGGAGCAAACGGG